rnacentral:rRNA from 1 species
CCUACGGGUGGCAGCAGUGGGGAAUAUUGCACAAUGGGGGGAACCCUGAUGCAGCAAUGCCGCGUGGGGGAAGAAGCACUCCGGUGCGUAAAGCCCUGUCAGCAGGGAAGAAAAUGACAGUACCUGACCAAGAAGCCCCGGCUAACUACGUGCCAGCAGCCGCGGUAAUACGUAGGGGGCAAGCGUUAUCCGGAUGCACUGGGUGUAAAGGGAGCGUAGACGGGCAGGCAAGCCUGGAGUGAAAGCCCGGGGCCCAACCCCGGGACUGCUCUGGGAACUGUCCGGCUGGAGUGCGGGAGGGGCAGGCGGAAUUCGUGGUGUAGCGGUGAAAUGCGUAGAUAUCAGGAAGAACACCGGCGGCGAAGGCGGCCUGCUGGACCGCGACUGACGUUGAGGCUCGAAAGCGUGGGGAGCGAACAGGAUUAGAUACCCGAGUAGUC